CUCUCGCUAUUUUAUUAUAGCGCCGGGGUAGCUCGAACAGCGACAACGAGUCUUUUUUCUCAGAUCGACGACCUCGGAGCAAGACAGGGCAAAACAAA
rnacentral:rRNA from 1 species